rnacentral:rRNA from 1 species
CCUACGGGAGGCAGCAGUGGGGAAUAUUGCGCAAUGGGCGAAAGCCUGACGCAGCGACGCCGCGUGAGGGAUGAAGGUCUUCGGAUCGUAAACCUCUGUCAGCAGGGAAGAACGGUCACUGUGCUAAUCAGCAGUGAAUUGACGGUACCUGCUAAGGAAGCACCGGCUAACUCCGUGCCAGCAGCCGCGGUAAUACGGAGGGUGCGAGCGUUAAUCGGAAUUACUGGGCGUAAAGCGCUCGUAGGCGGUAUGUCAAGUCAAGGGUGAAAUCCCCGCGCUCAACGGGGGAACUGCCUUUGAAACUGGCAAACUGGAGUGUGGGAGAGGAUAGUGGAAUUCCAGGUGUAGGAGUGAAAUCCGUAGAUAUCUGGAGGAACAUCAGUGGCGAAGGCGACUAGCUGGAACAUAACUGACGCUGAGGAGCGAAAGCGUGGGUAGCAAACAGGAUUAGAUACCCUAGUAGUC